CCUACCCAAUCAUUACUGCUUUUAUUUUUAUUUUUCAUUUCCUGUUUUUCAAUCUUCCAGUUCUAGAUGCAGAUCUGAGCCUCAAAACUUUCUAAAUUCACAUCAAAUUAAAAUCCGAUUUUCUUCUUUUUAUUAUUUGUUGUUAAGUUCAAAAUACCCAAAUUUGUUUCGAUAUUUACAAAAAGAUCUGGAUUUAUAAUUUCAGAUCUGUGCUAGUUGACUUAUUUUCUGCUCUGUGCUUUGUUGGAUCUACUACAUAUGAGCAUCUAAUCAACAAAGAUCUGAGUUCUGAUUAGAUGUAUACAUGGGGAUCUUUGUGGUAAAAGUACACGACAUGUUCUUGAGUUUCAGAAUACAAAGAGAUAUGUUCGAAUGUCUCUUUUGGUUUGACGGAUACACGUUUUCAAAAUUACUACAAGUUAUGUAGGUUCUUUUGAAAUGCGUUAUGUCCGAUUUGAUAUAGAAAGGCCAUGAAGCAAAAUGCAUCACAUGGAUCAUUAGACAGAUUGCUUUGCCGAAAUGAAUGAAGAUUAAUGCUGGAUGAACUGAAGACAUAAAUGAACUUUCGUAUUAGUAGUUUAAUCUAAAGUUACUUUAAAUCUAUUUAAAAAAUUGUUGUGUGUACGAAUUUUAAUUGUAAAAUGAACAUGAUGUUUGUAAUUAUAAAAAAAAAUGCACGCAUAUAUUACUAUGGUGGUGUAUUGUUAUGGUGGUGUAUUGUUGUUUAUACACAUAGACAUGUGAUGUGUUUGUAUUCAUUUGAAAAGUGACUAUAACAUUGAAUGUUAUAU
rnacentral:lncRNA from 1 species